GGCUCAGAACGAACGCUGGCGGCAUGCUUAACACAUGCAAGUCGCACGGUCUGGAGGUUUCGGCCUUUGGGCAGUGGCGGACGGGUGAGUAACGCGUAGGUAUUUAUCCUCAGGUGGGGGACAACCGCGGGAAACUGCGGCUAAUACCGCAUGACGGGCCUGGUUGGGAGAUCGGGUUCCAAAGGCCUUUGGGCUGCCUGGGGCGAAGCCUGCGUCCGAUUAGCUGGUUGGUGGGGUAACGGCCUACCAGGGCAUCGAUCGGUAGCUGGUCUGAGAGGAUGAUCAGCCACACUGUUUCUGAGACACGACGACCGACUCCUACNGGGAGUCAGCAGUGGGGA
rnacentral:rRNA from 1 species